ACCCACAUCAGCACCCAGGCCCUGGGUCAUUUCAACCCUGUAAUCUAAGUUAUCUUGUCAAGAUAUUUGAAUUUUGAAUUUUACCGCCCGGUCGCCAUUGCCAAAACGGCUACCAGUAGACUACCAACGUCCAGAAGAAAGGACACCGGAUGGCAUGUGAAAGCAUUGUUUCGGUGGACUUCUCUCCUCUGACCUGUUACCAAGACAGCUGGGUGUGUAGGAAACUGGAACUAAGUCACUGAAGAAGUAAACCGAUGAAAACCGAUUUGGAUUGUCUGAGAGAUCUGUAGGACACAAGUAAGAGGAGAAGAAUGCUGCUCAGCUGGGUCGGCGUCGGCCACACUACUUAUUCAAGAAGCCCUUGGAUAUCAU